rnacentral:rRNA from 1 species
CCUACGGGUGGCUGCAGUGGGGAAUAUUGCACAAUGGGCGCAAGCCUGAUGCAGCCAUGCCGCGUGUGUGAAGAAGGCCUUCGGGUUGUAAAGCACUUUCAGCGGGGAGGAAGGCGGUGAGGUUAAUAACCUCAUCGAUUGACGUUACCCGCAGAAGAAGCACCGGCUAACUCCGUGCCAGCAGCCGCGGUAAUACGGAGGGUGCAAGCGUUAAUCGGAAUUACUGGGCGUAAAGCGCACGCAGGCGGUCUGUCAAGUCGGAUGUGAAAUCCCCGGGCUCAACCUGGGAACUGCAUUCGGAACUGGCAGGCUAGAGUCUUGUAGAGGGGGGUAGAAUUCCAGGUGUAGCGGUGAAAUGCGUAGAGAUCUGGAGGAAUACCGGUGGCGAAGGCGGCCCCCUGGACAAAGACUGACGCUCAGGUGCGAAAGCGUGGGGAGCAAACAGGAUUAGAUACCCCGGUAGUC